GAUUUCUGUAAAGACGACAUAAUAUUUACACGUACAUGCAAUGUUAGAGUAAAUAUAAUUUGUAAAAAGUAAUAUCAGACUUAUUUGUGAAUUUUGAAGUUAACAUGGUCAAAUUGUUAAAUCUGAACCAAUUUUUUCAAUAAAAUAGCACAUCUAUAGAAAAUACACAUUUGAGAUGUUGAAUAAUCAGACCAAGUUUAAUAUGAUAUAUCAACCCCACUGCAUAUUAAAAUUAAAGUCACUACAUGUAUUUUUCUCAAUCAUCUUUGAUUUUGAAUAUUAUAGCUCUCUUGAUCUGUAUUAAACAUGAGUUGUGUCGAAAAUCAUUUUAAUUACUUGUACAUGCAUAUGUUAAAUUAAAAUAUUUCUUUUAAUAUGUAAUACAUAAGUUUGCAAACAAAUAUUAUUAAUAUUUUUUUCAAUUGUUUGCUGAAACGAAAGUACACGUCCUCGUGUGUAGCUUGACCAAAUCAACACACUUGUCAUUAUUUUAAUAUGUUUAUUUUUAAACCAUGAUUUGGUUUUUAUUUGUUAUUUAUUGAUAACAUUCCUACAUUCUUACCUCAUAUUCUUCCUUUCAGUAGUUUGUCAUAUGUCAUAAUCGCUCAAUAUGUAUGCAUUUGUCACUGUUUUUUCUUUCUUCCUGAGUACAGGAAAGAUGUUUGGAUUGAUCAAAUAAACCAUGAAU
rnacentral:sRNA from 1 species